rnacentral:lncRNA from 1 species
GGCGAGGGCGAGGCGUCGGGCGAGGAUUGGUACCGUGAGUGAUUCUUUCCUUAGCGUGCGAUUGUUUCCUUUACACGAUUGUUAUUUUAUAUCAGGAAUCCUUUCUUUUUCUUUAUUUCAUUUCGUACCCUUCCACCUCUAUGUUAUAUAUUAUUCUGGAUUGUAAAUUUGCGUCAGGAAUCCUAUCUGGUUUUUUUAUUCAAUUUUGACCCUUCCACCUCCUAUACUACGCACGGGUAUCGCACGUCGGGUGGUGGGGGAGCGAAAAAAAAGUCGCACCAUAUGGUGGUCUUACUUUUGUUCUUUUGUUCUUUUUAUUUUUAGUUGUAUGUAGGAGAUAAUACAACAACAGCAGAAAAGGUGGCCAGAGUUCGUAUCACAAUCCAUAAUAAAUCAGUUAAUUCGACUAAUAAUAAUCGAUUCCCGUACGUGGUACGCACGAACUACAUACUCAGGGCCGAUCGGUGUCCGCGCUCUCCAUGCGACAGAUGUGAUUGGACUUGGAAUUUUGCGAAAGGAUAUGUCACACUAAUAAUUUUAUUUACAUACAAUUCAGUAAAAUCAAUCGAGUAUUUUUACAAUGGUUGGAGAGGCGAUGAGAAGCGAUUAGUGUAUUUAUGGUCGGUGAACCCAGAAUAAGAAAAGCGAUGAGAGACGAUAUGAGAGUAGAACGAUGAGAGGCGAUAGAUGUAACUAUCGUCGGUGGGCCAUAGACGUCAUAUCGUCUCCCAUCGCCUCCGAAAUUAUGGGGAUUAGGAUCCUAAAUAGAGGGGUGGUAAUUCUUUUUUUUUUAUUUUUUCAAUGAAGAGUAAAAUGGUAAAUUCAUAAUUAUAAAAAUAAUAUUUUCAGUACCAUAGUUAAAGUGUAUGAUUCAAGCACUAUAGAGGCAAUGUCGAUGCCUGGGAACCACGCCGCUGCCUAGGUGUAUAUCAUUGGCAACGUUGGUUGGGUGUGCGUCGCUGCGUGGGUGCGGCGCUGCUGCCCUGGUUGGCGCCGUCGACUUGGGGCCAAUGGCACAGUGGCAGAAAAAGGAAGAAGCAAUGAGAUCCCAGCGACGAGUGUGGGCAAAGGUGGGCCAACGGUGGCUAGGCCAUGUGAUGGCGAUGACGACGGUGCCUGCGGCUGGAGGGAGGGAGAGAGAGCAGGGCGCGGCAGGAUAGAGGUCGGGGUUUGAGAGAACCUUUUACAAUAACGUUAUUAUCUUUUCACGAAUUAAAGCAAAAAAAUAUAUUUUUCAGUGGAGGCGAUGAGUAGCGAUUCCGACUAUUGUAAAAGGUCUUCAAAAAAUAUACAUAAUA